rnacentral:lncRNA from 1 species
ACAAAGGACACAAUAUACUGCACGGUACACUUGAGUCUUGUUGAUACGCUAAAGGCAAAAUGACUGAAUUCAGCAAGCUCUUCCAGUCAGCUGAUUGUUAAUUGUAUUAGAUACAUUGGAUUUUUUUCUUAUGACACCAUGGUUUAACUACAAGGCAAAGACUUAAUAAGUACGCUGAGAGUCUUUUCAAUAGCUCUUCAGAAUUUAAUUUUGGUUGCGUCAACAUCAGUAUUAUCUUGCUUCCUUUUAAGAAAUAACGUCAUUUAAACAUUAUUUUUUUUACUCGUGGGCCACGUUUUGUAACUCAGCUUGUACACAUAUUUAAAAGCUCAAACUAAAGAAUUUUAAUUGUAACGAUGUAUCAAUUAAAAACUACUGAUAAAAAAAGAGACUAUUGUUAUUACGACUAAAUUACGUAAUAUUAUAUAUGUAUUAUUAUUUUAUGAGUUACUUAUCAAAGUAGGUAUUUACAAAGGUUGAAAUUAGGAUUAAAAUUGUCACUGAACAAAGCUUACGACGUAUAGCUUUUGAAUACUCAAUACAAACCCAAUAGAUUAUAACUCGCCCUUCAAAGAUCUGCUCAACUUUCAAAACUAGUAAAAAUUAUAGAUCCAUGACGAGUAGCAUCAUGAUGUAUAAAAAGAACAAGAAGUAAACUAAUAGCAAGAACAAUAGUUAAUAAACUAUACAUAAAAAUAAUAUUCACUUGAAAAGGAGACAUCAGAAUGUUAACGGUUACGUGUUAACAAGUUUCCGCCACGUGAAAUCAACUCGGCGCUGAAAAUAUAUUGCAUCAGUACUUGAAAAUUUGCCCUACAUUGUAUAGCUAUUAAAUAGAACACAAAGAUCAAACUUUAUUUUGAUGUUCCUGAAGAAAUACUUAGUUAGCAAGCAGUUGAAAUGCCAAGCAUACCUACAUAAAAUUUCUGAAUACUUACCUGAAAGGUGACAAAUAAAAUAGAGUAUAAGAUACCUAAUCUUUAGCAACAUUAAAUUGUGAAGUGAUUAAACAACCCAUAGCAGAAGAACACAAAGAACUGUGCCUUCGUGUUAACGCAGAUGCAAUGUGCAAUAUCAUUACAUCGCACAUCUCAUCAAUUAUCGCCGCAUAUAAUGGUCAACUGAGAAUGAAGCUCCCGCCGUAUUUGGUGCUCGCCAUGUCUGGUCCGUAGCUGCAUCUAAUUUUGAAACAUGGAAAUAUUGCAAGAAUCUUUCACAGAUUAUCCGUAACUUAACACAUUUACCAUAAUGCAAAACUGUUUCUUUAUUACUUCAGACUACGUGAGUACUUCGUGUACCACUGGGAAAAAUAUUAACAUCCAAGUUAUUGUUGUGCUAAUAAUGAAUUUGAUUGUGGAAGACAACUUGUUUUGAAACAUUUGUCGUUGUAAACACCAAGUUCCUUUCAUAUAUAUGCUUCAUUUAGUCCAUCGAUUUACGACGUUCAUCGUUAUGUUAAUUCAUUAUCAUUGUGGUGACAACACCGAGCAUGUUUUUGGGUGAAAUAAAUAUAGAGUUGCAACUUGAAAUACAUCUAGAUCAUUUAACUCAAACACUUUAUUGAGUGCUGAUAAUAAAUGUUGUUCUAAACAAUGGA